rnacentral:miRNA from 2 species
UGACUAGAACCCACACUCGUCCGG